rnacentral:rRNA from 1 species
UCCGUAGGGCGCAAGCGUUAUCCGGAAUUACUGGGCGUAAAGCGCACGUAGGCGGCUUUGUAAGUUAGAGGUGAAAGCCCGGGGCUCAACUCCGGAAUUGCCUUUAAGACUGCAUCGCUAGAAUUGUGGAGAGGUAAGUGGAAUUCCGAGUGUAGAGGUGAAAUUCGUAGAUAUUCGGAAGAACACCAGUGGCGAAGGCGACUUACUGGACACAUAUUGACGCUGAGGUGCGAAAGCGUGGGGAGCAAACAGG